AUUGAACGCUGGCGGCAUGCCUUACACAUGCAAGUCGAACGGCAGCACGGGUGCUUGCACCUGGUGGCGAGUGGCGAACGGGUGAGUAAUACAUCGGAACAUGUCCUGUAGUGGGGGAUAGCCCGGCGAAAGCCGGAUUAAUACCGCAUACGAUCUACGGAUGAAAGCGGGGGACCUUCGGGCCUCGCGCUAUAGGGUUGGCCGAUGGCUGAUUAGCUAGUUGGUGGGGUAAAGGCCUACCAAGGCGACGAUCAGUAGCUGGUCUGAGAGGACGACCAGCCACACUGGGACUGAGACACGGCCCAGACGCCUACGGGAGGCAGCAGUGGGGAAUUUUGGACAAUGGGCGAAAGCCUGAUCCAGCAAUGCCGCGUGUGUGAAGAAGGCCUUCGGGUUGUAAAGCACGUUUGUCCGGAAAGAAAUCCUUGGCCCUAAUACGGUCGGGGGAUGACGGUACCGGAAGAAUAAGCACCGGCUAACUACGUG
rnacentral:rRNA from 1 species